rnacentral:rRNA from 1 species
UACGUAGGGUGCGAGCGUUAAUCGGAAUUACUGGGCGUAAAGCGUGCGCAGGCGGUUCUGCAAGUCAGAUGUGAAAUCCCCGGGCUUAACCUGGGACUGCGUUUGAAACUACGGAGCUAGAGUGCGGCAGAGGGGGUGGAAUUCCACGUGUAGCAGUGAAAUGCGUAGAUAUGUGGAGGAACACCGAUGGCGAAGGCAGCCCCCUGGGCCGACACUGACGCUCAGGCACGAAAGCGUGGGGAGCAAACAGG